rnacentral:rRNA from 1 species
UACAGGGGGUGCAAGCGUUAUUCGGAAUUAUUGGGCGUAAAGAGCGCGUAGGCCGUUUGGUAAGUUUGGUGUGAAAUCCCUGGACUCAAUUCAGGAAGUGCAUCGAAUACUGCUAAACUGGAGUACUGGAGAGGAGAGCGGAAUUCCCGGUGUAGAGGUGAAAUUCGUAGAUAUCGGGAGGAACAACAGAAGCGAAGGCGGCUCUCUGGACAGUCACUGACGCUGAGGCGCGAAAGCGUGGGGAGCAAACAGG